rnacentral:lncRNA from 1 species
UCAAUCCAAAUAUACCAUAACUAUCACGAACAGUUACCGACCGCAUAUCACGGCACGAUCAGUGGGAGUUGACGAUCCAUUACGUGAUAAUGGCCCGAUGAUUUAGCGCCAUAAAAUACGGGACCACAUCCGACGGUUACAAGAACCUUGUCUAUAAAAGGGGGUAAGAAAAAUAGGGCUGGUAAGUCACUUCUGAUCAGAAC